rnacentral:misc_RNA from 1 species
UGCACAUGCGCAUUAAUAUCGAUCGAAAAUCCGGAAAAUCUACGACGAAAAUUGUGAGACAAAGAUCACAAAAUUACAGACAUUAGCUAUGGCAUAUAAUAUCACCAUGUAAUCCAAAUGAAAUCUGCCGGUUAUCAAAUUCUGGAUCUACAUUCAACAAUAAAGUAAAUAAAAUAAUUCAACACAAUGUAUAACGGAAUUGGUCUAGACACUGUUCGUGGCAGCGGUACCAAUGGCUAUGUAACACGGAACUUGUCGCAAGUUCGAAAAGUCAAAGAACGUGUGGAUUAUAAAUCAGAGGAGGAGUUGCGGAAACUCGAUGCAGAGUUAACCCGUGGACCAAAUCAGGAGAUUUUGGAUCAUGAACGGAAGAGAAAAGUUGAACUGAAAUGUAUGGAGAUGACUGAACUCAUGGAAGAGCAAGGGUAUUCCACAGAGGAAAUAGAUCGUAAGGUGUCAAUGUUUCGCAAGAUGUUAAUGGAAAAAGAGAAAGUGACGGAUCAGUCCAUCGAGAAAGACGAACAUGGACGCCCAAUUGCAAGAACCACUCACCAGAUGGCUGAAGCCAACCAGGAGAAGAACCAACAAUUAAAGGCAGCAUUUGGAAUAAGCGAGUAUUACGUUGAAGGAAGCGGAAUGGAUCCUGAGCGUAGGGCUAAAGAGAAGAAAGCAAAAGAAGAUGCUGAAAAGGCACUAGCUAUGGCCAGAACAAAAUAUAAGAUUAUAGAAGAGUCAAGUUCUGAUAAAUCACCAUCACCAGAACCUAAGAAAAAAAAGAAAAAGAAACAGAGAGAAAGAUCUGAAAGUUCAUCACCAGAAAGAGAAAGAAAAAAGAAGAAGAAACACAAACGUGGAAGAUCGUACUCUCCCAGGAGAAAGGAUGCUGAUAAACGGAAAAGGAAAGGUAAAAGAAGGAGUCCAUCAAGUGGAAGUUCCAGUGAAGAAAGUGCAAGUGAAUCUGAUAGCUCACUAAGUCCAUCGCCAGAACGACCCAAGAAGAAAUCGAGAUCUAAGAAGAAAUCACGUCGUUCCUAUAGCCCAGAUGAAUCCAGGAAAAAGCGCCAUAAAUCGCUUGAAAGUUCAAGAAGUCGAUCCCCUGUAGGGAGAAGGGGGCAUAGUAGGUCUCUUAGCUACUCACCAAAACAUCGUAGAAGGUCAUUAAGUGGAUCUCUGACACCACCUAGAAGUAAACGCAGCUCACGUCAUUCUAAAUCCACGACACCUGUCAAAAAACGGUCAUCCAGAAGGUCGAAAAGUCGCAGUCCCCAUAAAUCUAGAUCAAGGUCAAAGAAACGUUCAAAGAGGAGCCCUAGACGACGUUAUUCAUAUAGUAGAUCCCGGAGUCACAGUCCAUAUCGCAGCCCAACACGCAGCCCUUCAAUACGCCGCAGAAGGGAUUCUCCCAGCCAUUUAGAUCGCAGACGAAUCACAAGGUCAGACUCACGGGAGCGAUAUUCAAGGAGAUAUUCCAGGUCAAGGUCACCAAGAAGUAGGUCACCGAGGUCACGUAGAGGACGUCGCUGAAAUAGAGAAGCAUAAAAUCCUGACAAACAUGUGCACGCAAAAAGCCGAUUCCAUAUGUACGGCCAAGUCCCCCCACCCCAAGUUCCGACAGUGACUUUUCUCUGUACUCAUACAGAUCUCGGUCAAGGUCAAGGUCGCGAAGAAAACACAAACGCAGACGUAGCUGGAGUUGCAGUAGUGAAGACAGUGAUGAUAGUUACAUAUGAAUUCAAGCAAAAUGCCAAAAUUUUGAAUCAGUUAAACAGUUAUGCAUUCCAAAUGUUGUCUCAAUAAAGCGGAGGGAGGAGGUUUAUUAUACAGUAAGAUCUUCAGGACCUUCUUUUUAGUGUUCACCCUCCCUUUGUUUAAUUCUUCUCUUUCUCGAGAAUGUUGAAAGAUAUAAUGGCUAUAUUGCCAUUUAUAGUAUAAGGCAAAACAAAGAUUGUUUUUUCAUCCUUAGACUCAAAUAAAUAAUUUUUCAUAUUUCUUGAGAAAGAUUAGAACAUGAAUGGCUUGCAACUGUUAGAUAUUUAUUAAUGCAAUAGAUCGAUGUACAGGUUCUGUGUAAACAUGUGAAGGUUUAAUAAAUAAAACAACGAAAGUAUUAAUAUUAAAACAUAUAGAGGGGAUUGUUAAUCAUGUAUUUAGGAUUAAAUCUGUAUUACAUGACUUCUUGCUUUAUAUUGAAGAACACUUUAAGAAUGUUUUGAAGAAAUGACAGAGGUAUUUAGCCCUAUUAUGGUGCAAAAAUAUUUUUAUUUUCCAUUAACAUGACAUUCCAGACCUGUGCAUCUUGAUAGAUUAUUAUAUGUUACACCAAUCUCACAUGGAUUGGAAUCAGAUUUGACUUAAAGGCUAGAAAAAUUAAUGUUUCGUUUACCAUCAUUUUUGUGAAAAUCUUCCUUUUACAUGUCCAUGCAUGACACAUUUUGAUGGAAUGGAAUAUCACAGAAAAGAUGAAGACUGUAAACAAAAUGUUAAUUUUCACCAGCCUUGAAAUAGUGUGCAAUAAGAGAGAAUAGUUCUUAUGUGUAAAUAUAGAGGGUACUGCAACUCCAACUAGUCAUUAAAAGUGAAUUUUAUAGUAUUUAUUGAACAAAUAUCACAAAAAGUUUAAUAUAUUUAAGUUAUUUUGUCAUUGUUUCAUUUCUUAAUACUGUGCUUUUAUUGUCAGGCAUGUUGAUUACAACUGAUAUUUAGAAUUGAAAUAACAAUUUUACAACAAAUCAUUUUCAAGAUAAAAUAAAAUAAGAUACAGUAGCAAAUACAACAUGUCCUUUUGGCUAUGGGGACAAAUGUGUGCACAUGUUUGAAGGAUUAGUAACAAUUAUGAAUGAGUAGCUUUAAAUAUUACAAUGGUCAUUGUGGUUCCUAAUAAACUGGCUGAUUUCUCUAUUUCUGUAAUACCCAGAGAAAGGCUGGCUAUCAAGUACCUGAAGGGAAUAUAAUAGUACCUAAAGGCAAUAUAGUAAUGCCAUUAUAGAGCCAAAAGUUUCAAGGCCUCUGUAGCUGAAAUAAAAGAAAAAAUUGAACUUCUUGCAGCAUGACCAUAUAAG